AUCACUUCUUGGCCUUUUGGCUAAGAUCACAUGUAGUAUCUGUUCUUAUCAGUUUAAUAUCUGAUACGUCCUCUAUCUGAGGACAAUAUAUUAAAUAGAUUUUUGGAGCUCAGAGUUGGAAUAGGAGCUUGCUCCAUCCACUCCAUGCAUCGACCUGGUAUUGCAGUACCUCUAGGAACAGUGCUCCCCCU
rnacentral:snRNA from 1 species